CAAACUAGUGAGGCCCCCAAAUGUGUGUUGACCUUUUUCUGUCCGGCUUCUCCGAGGUCAUUCCACCACAGCCGCAGCUCCAAUGGAAUUUUGUUCAUUAUCGUACUCAUUCUUCACAUUUACUAGGGCGGAUUAGUACUCUCAAAUUAUAAAAUCUAACAUUUAUGAAAACAGGGACCGACUUUGCGAAUACGGCCUCUCAACACUUCGGUAAGAAGGUUUUUCUGGUUGUGCUUGCUUACCGACCGAAAUAAAAUUCAAUGGCAGCCAUUUGCGUAAGAUCAACCUUCUGGCAUCCCCUAUAGUAUCAUUCAGCUAUCACC
rnacentral:lncRNA from 1 species